rnacentral:rRNA from 1 species
UUUAUCGCUAUUAGAUGAGCCUAUGUUAGAUUAGCUAGUUGGUAGGGUAAAGGCCUACCAAGGCAGUGAUCUAUAGCUGGUCUGAGAGGAUGAUCAGCCACACUGGAACUGAGAUACGGUCCAGACUCCUACGGGAGGCAGCAGUGGGGAAUAUUGGACAAUGGGCGCAAGCCUGAUCCAGCUAUGCCGCGUGAGUGAGGAAGGCCUUAGGGUUGUAAAACUCUUUCAGUGGGGAAGAUAAUGACGGUACCCACAGAAGAAGUCCCGGCAAACUCCGUGCCAGCAGCCGCGGUAAUACGGAGGGGGCAAGCGUUGUUCGGAAUUAUUGGGCGUAAAGGGCAUGUAGGCGGUUCGGUAAGUUAAAGGUGAAAUGCCAGGGCUUAACCCUGGAGCUGCUUUUAAUACUGCCAGACUCGAGUCCGGGAGAGGAUAGCGGAAUUCCUAGUGUAGAG